AGUAUAGUAGUAGAACAUUGGUGCGUAAAGCCAAAGGCCCCGGGUUCGAUUCCCGG
rnacentral:tRNA from 1 species